UUCUAUGCCGCUUGCUCUUCUUACGGGGCCGCGUGGGAGGGUGGACCAUGUCAAAACAUGAGGUGGAGGGCAGGCGUGAAGCACAUGUCGAGAGGCGCACGUUUGCUCCACACGUGCACGGCGGCUGUGAGCUUGCCAACGCCGACCUUCCACACGUGCUCACUUGCGGCGAAAUAUUGAAGAAUCAACGGUUCCCAGGCUUCGGAGGUGGAGGCUGUGCACACUCAGCUGCUCUGACUUCCAGUAAGCAAAGACGGUCUUGCUCUCCUAUGGCGAGGUUGCCGCACAAGGUGGCUUAAAAAGCAUUGAGCAUGUGAUGCUUCGCCAAUGCGGGCGAGCUGACAACGGAUGAGGUGUUAAUCAGCAGGAAAGACAAAGGCCAGUCCCUGCAGCGAGAGCAGGCGGGCUGGUGGAGUUGGGGGCAGGGCGCCUCCCUUUCUUUCAGCCUCCGGAGCCUGCUGACAGCUGCUCGGGGAGGCCUGGGGGCCUGCUGCUCACCACAGCCACAUCCUGGAAGAUUCAGGAUACAUGCGUGCUCACGUGCGCCAGCGGCUCGGAGCAACGUGAAACAAAAAGCGGCCCCGACAAAGACCAAAGGCCCUGGUGUUUACUCAAUCUGUCCACUUGUGUUAAUAUUGGAGGGAUCCCUCGUGGCCGCGAGAGGGACAGGACACACAAACGCGCCGUUUAAAGGUUUAAGUCCAUCACAAGCCGACGGCUGCUUCCUGUCGGCGGCCCAAGCUCUAAUUACCCGGGUCCCCGCGGCUUGACCUGUAGGCUGUCACGUCUAAAGCGCUAACCGCGCCCAGGUUGUGGAGAAAUGUUUGUAGUCUCCUCGUGGAAUUGCGUGGCGGGAGUUUGGAAGAGGCCAUGUGUGGCAAUGAUGAGAUUAGCAAAAAUAAAACAAAAUAUUUCACAUUAUAUGCUUGAUCAGAGCUAGAAUCAUCAUUGGUGGUGUUUGUUAACCUUAUGAUAUUAUAUAUGCAAAGAUUAAGCGAGGCUGCGACCAGAUAUUGAUGCCACUAAAUGUGUUCACGUGUUUAACUUGGAUCAAUAGAGAAAGUAGAAGCCUGACCGGCUAACUUCAACUGUCCAUACCGAUGACAGGAGUGAGAAAUGUCUCUGAGGCAUCAAGGACAAGAGGAGGAGAUAACUGCCGCGUGCAGGGCUGUUGGAUGCGUGCCAAGGGUUCUGCUUUUGAAGCCACCGUGCCAUUUGCACAGUGUCUCCGGGGACUGGUGGAAGACGCCAAAUGAACCACAACACGCCAGGCUGGGUGGGGAUCAUUUUCCUCAUGACUGUACAGCUUUGCGGAGCACAUUUCCACACACCACGAGCAAAGGCAUCCUCUGCGGUGUUCAGAUGGAAGUGUGUUUGUGAGAUGAUCUUUUUAGCUCGAGCUCAUAAAAGUCCGUCCUCAGAGAAGUCCAAAUGAACCAAAGACAAUUUUACCUCAUCAUUUUGACAAAGCAUGAAGAAACGCUGUGUUAACACGAGUAUUAGUCUCACUAUUUGUACACUCACUUCCUCUGCGGCUCAUUCGGUCUGCUGUGCCGCACCUCCGUGAGUAAUCUCAAGUCCCGGAAAAUAUUCCCAUUACCAUUCACAUCAUGUUACCGCUAACACGGGACCACCCAAAGGGCCUAAUCUGGGGUACACAGCAGACAUGUGGUCUGAACAAUGUCGAGGCAGGUUUGACUUUCUUAGCCCUGGCUCUCCUCCUGCGAGCAUCCCCUCACACAGACAGGCCAGGCUUCCUCCACAGUUAAUUACGGCCACAGCUUGCAUGGAGGCAUAUCAUUAGCAGUAAUUGCACACGGCAUCCCAUUGCCAUGUGCCUCCCUUUUCUUUUUUUUUUCCCCCUGUCCCAGAUUUACGCUGCACUGAUCCAUGAAGGAAGAGUGCAGCCCUCCACAUGCUCUGAAUGGACAACUACAAGGCUUUUGUGCGCGAGCGUGGGCUCGGAAAUACAGCAGCGAGUCCGGGAACAGGGCUUCAGAGAGGGCUGGAUGCAGAUAAAAAAAAAAAAGGAAUAGCCACAUGUGGAUAGAUGGCACAUUCAGCUGCAGGAAAUACAGGGAUUAGCGUGAGGCGGAGGGUGUUUGUUGUGUAAGCAAGUAAAAAGGUGCAGGUUUUUAUAUCAACAGCGGGCGCAGGUUGAAGAACCGGUCGGCACACGUUGAAGCAUAAACUCAGUUUCAAAUCAAAACACAAUAAGCCGGUUUCAUCUCUGCAGCCUGUGCAGAUGGAAAGGAGUGGGCGGCUGUAGCACGCCACCGCACACCACCUG